rnacentral:lncRNA from 1 species
UUGAAGGGAAGCGUGACGGUUUUGUGCAUGCAUUUUUAAAAUUUUGUAGAGCAACAUAUAUAGAUUAAAUAAUUUAAUCAACAAUACAUGUAUAGAUCAAAUCUAAAACUACUAUACAGGAUCUAUGACAUGAAUUAAUAUGCAUGUAUGUAAAUCUAAAAUCUAAAAUUCAACAAAUAUAGAUCAUAUUUAAAUAUGAUCACGGAUAGCAGAUCACUAUAAUAUAAUCAUAUUUAGAUCAUAUUUAAAUAUGAAUUGAGUUUAAAACUCGAUACCUGAGCACGGAUAGC